rnacentral:rRNA from 1 species
UACGAGGGGGGCGAGCGUUGUUCGGAAUUAUUGGGCGUAAAGGGUGCGUAGGCGGUUUGGUAAGUCUUGUGUGAAAUCUCCAGGCUCAACUUGGAGUCUGCACGAGAAACUGCCGGGCUUGAGUGUGGGAGAGGAGGGUGGAAUUCCUGGUGUAGCGGUGAAAUGCGUAGAGAUCAGGAGGAACACCCGUGGCGAAGGCGGCCCUCUGGCUCGACCCUGACGCUGAGGCGCGAAAGCGUGGGGAGCGAACGGG